UUAAAAUAAUUUUAUUUAAUUGAAUAUUAAUAAUAUAAUUUUAA
rnacentral:rRNA from 1 species